GAUGAACGCUGGCGGCGUGCUUAACACAUGCAAGUCGAACGGUGAACACGGAGCUUGCUCUGUGGGAUCAGUGGCGAACGGGUGAGUAACACGUGAGCAACCUGCCCCUGACUCUGGGAUAAGCGCUGGAAACGGCGUCUAAUACUGGAUAUGUGACGUGACCGCAUGGUCUGCGUUUGGAAAGAUUUUUCGGUUGGGGAUGGGCUCGCGGCCUAUCAGCUUGUUGGUGAGGUAAUGGCUCACCAAGGCGUCGACGGGUAGCCGGCCUGAGAGGGUGACCGGCCACACUGGGACUGAGACACGGCCCAGACUCCUACGGGAGGCAGCAGGGGGGAAUAUUGCACAAUGGGCGCAAGCCUGAUGCAGCAACGCCGCGUGAGGGAUGACGGCCUUCGGGUUGUAAACCUCUUUUAGCAGGGAAGAAGCGAAAGUGACGGUACCUGCAGAAAAAGCGCCGGCUAACUACGUG
rnacentral:rRNA from 1 species